rfam:Tupaia chinensis contig58001, whole genome shotgun sequence.
AGCUUUGCGCAGUGGCAGUAUCGUAGCCAAUGAGGUUUAUCCGAGGCGCGAUUAUUGCUAAUUGAAAAACCAUCACAGUAGUUUAUGGAAAUGAGAUUAAUGA